rnacentral:lncRNA from 1 species
AUGAAAUUAUAUUAUUAUGGUCAAGAAUGAUUCUUUAUGUUCUUCCUUAGCCUUGAUUUGAUUCCAUAGAACAUGCAUGUUGUUUUCAUGGGGGGAAAUGUUAAACCUAGCAUUUAUGGGGCCACAAGGGCUAUUCUUAGCCAAUCAUUUUGAUGAUGUGGACAUGCUCUAAAGGCUGAUAAUUGAGAAUGAGCGCCAAUCUAAUUUUCUUUAUUCUCCUUCCUCUUCAAUUCCUCUUCAAUUCGUAUUCAAUGCUCUCUUCUCCUUCUCACGUACGUUUCUUCACCCUGUCUCUCUCUCUUCAAUCAAAUAAAUCUUUCCUUUUUCCUUAUUGUUUCCCCUUUCUGAUGUUCAUCAUUCUCCUUCUUCAACUUCUUUGAUCCAUCGGGUGGUUGAUUCUAUCAACAAACCCUAAUCACCAAGCAAGUUCUUCUGUUUUUUGUGUAGAUCUACGACAUUAUUUCAACUAGAAAAAGAAUAAAAAAAUC